rnacentral:ncRNA from 1 species
CGUUUGAACAGAACCUUUUCCGAAUGAUUUUUCGCCCAUAAUAAUGGCACGGUGGUGAUCUUGCAAAGCACCUGCCACAAUUUCAGAAGCGGAAGCCGAGCCUUCGUUGAUGAGAACAACAAUCGGUAAACCGUUUGUGAUAUCGCCACUGUGCGCCGAAUAUUUCACGUUGUCUUCAUCAUUUCGUGAGCGUGUGGAAACAAUUUCCCCCUGAUUUAAGAACAAAUCCGAAACGGCAACGGCUUGGUCAAGAAGUCCGCCCGGAUUGUUUCGA